rnacentral:tRNA from 1 species
GACUUUGUAGCUCAGUUGGUAGAGCAGCUGACUCUUAAUCAGCGGGUCUGGAGUUCGAGCCUCCACAAAGUCACCA